rnacentral:rRNA from 1 species
UACGUAGGGUGCAAGCGUUGUCCGGAAUUAUUGGGCGUAAAGAGCUCGUAGGCGGUCUGUCGCGUCGAAUGUGAAAACCCGGGGCUCAACCCCGGGCCUGCAUUCGAUACGGGCAGACUAGAGUUCGGUAGGGGAGACUGGAAUUCCUGGUGUAGCGGUGAAAUGCGCAGAUAUCAGGAAGAACACCCGUGGCGAAGGCGGCUCUCUGGUACGUGACUGACGCUGAGACGCGAAAGCGUGGGGAGCGAUCCGG